rnacentral:lncRNA from 13 species
AUGACACAGGAUGUCGAGCCUCUUUUCAUAUGCUUAUUCGCCAUCUGGAUAUGUUCUCUGAAGAGACAAUUUGAACAAUUUGCUUUUCCCUUGGAAGUUGAAGAAAGACUGCACAUGCCUUUAAUUCCCACGAAACCUGUGGAGAGCAAACCAUACAGCUGGCAUUUGUUGACCUCUGCUCUAAGCAAGCAUGUUGUGCAUAAGAACGCAUUUAUUCCCCAUAACAAACCCAGGUAGGUAGGUAGGUGGGUAGGUGCCAUUAUAGUAGAUGAAGAAAUGGAGUGUCAAAGUAGUAGAUACCUGGUCCAAGGUAGUCUGGCUCCAUAUCCUGCAUUUUCAGCCCCUGGCUAGUCCAGUUCUUAGUAUCUGACUUGGCCACAGCAGAACCAGACACAGGCUUCCUGAUUCCCAGGAUAGACCCUUUUCUUCCUACCAUCUUCAUGUAGCACAUCUCAGAACUGGGGCGUGUAUACCAAAGGGAUAUGCAAUGCUAAGGAGUUGCAAAGAUCUGCUCUGUGACUGAGGCACAGGACUGGUCUUGGAGGGAAGAUCACAGGGAGGAGAGAGUGGGCUUCUCUUGAGACCUAAGCUCCAGCCCCACUUCAUGGCCCAGAGAGCUCUGGCCAGGGAGGAAGAUCCAAUUUCCAGGCAAGGUUGAAACCAGAGCUGGGUGCCCCCACCAGCUUGCCUCCUGUG